UUCUAUUUCAACCCCUUCAUUAGUCAAUUCUUCAUUUUCAAUUUAGAUGGUGAUUCUGUUUGAGAAUCGAUGAUGAAUUAAAGAAGAAAAUGAUGGAGGAGAAGGGUGAUGCAGAAGAACAGAGAUGAAAAAAAUAAAGGGGCUAAACUUAGGAUCGCACAUUCAUUAUGUAUGCGAAAUAAAGAUCAUCUAACACAAGCGAAGAUCAUCGAACAUAGCAAAAUUGAGAUGACGUAUUUGGUGAUGUCAGCACAGUCACGAGUAAAGUGUGAUGAUAUGUGCGAAAUGUAAAGUGUGCGAAGUUGAGUGAAUGUAUAUGAGCGACUGUAACGCACAGUGAUUCCGAAAAUAGGGAAGGGCUAUCAUGUAAUGAGAGAGAUCUCAGAGAAUGUGUUAGACAAGAAAUUAGGAGAGAGAAGUUUAUUUGGAGAGCAAGUAAAGUAUUUGAUUAUCUUGUAUCCAACUUAAGAUUCUAAUGAAUAAAUGAAUAAUUUUCACUA